rnacentral:rRNA from 1 species
AACGAACGCUGGCGGCAUGCCUAACACAUGCAAGUCGAACGAGACCUUCGGGUCUAGUGGCGCACGGGUGCGUAACGCGUGGGAAUCUGCCCUUCGGUUGGGAAUAACACAGAGAAAUUUGUGCUAAUACCUUAUAAUGUCUUCGGACCAAAGAUUUAUCGCCGAGGGAUGAGCCCGCGUAGGAUUAGCUAGUUGGUGGGGUAAUGGCCUACCAAGGCGACGAUCCUUAGCUGGUCUGAGAGGAUGAUCAGCCACACUGGGACUGAGACACGGCCCAGACUCCUACGGGAGGCAGCAGUGGGGAAUAUUGGACAAUGGGCGAAAGCCUGAUCCAGCAAUGCCGCGUGAGUGAUGAAGGCCUUAGGGUUGUAAAGCUCUUUUACCCGGGAUGAUAAUGACAGUACCGGGAGAAUAAGCUCCGGCUAACUCCGUGCCAGCCGCCGCGGUAAUAC